rnacentral:lncRNA from 1 species
GGACACCCAAGCUUCCCCUUUGGACACCCACGCUUCCCGACGAAGCUAUCGUCAUUGGAUUUCCCGUCUUGGGCGCUCGGACCAGAGGCUCGAUUGCUCCAGACGAAGCUAUCAGUUCCUUUUCUCGUCAUUCCGUACUCUUAGAGCUGGAGAUCGGAGGAAGAAUCAACGGCAGGCCAUCUUCAUCAUCGAUCAACCCGGCCUCAGAACCCAAACCCAGAUCUUUCUUCGUCGCAGUACCCAUCUAGGUCCUUCCCCAGACAGAUUCGCACACUAUCAUCCUCCGCCUAGUCCGACAGACCGGCGUCUCCAGUUCUUCUCCCUCUCCAGUUCAACUUCCUCCACCGCGUCCCUCGUCCGGCCAACAUCCAGCCCAACCUCACUGCAGACACCAGAAAUCGCCGCCUGAGCAGGCCAGAUCCCGCGCCAGACACCAGCGAUCGCCCACGACCUGAGUCAACCACCGAUC